AUUCCAGCUCCAAUAGUGUAUAUUAAAGUUGUUGCAGUUAAAAAGCUCGUAGUUGGAUUUCUGGCGGGAGCGAUCGGUCCUUCACUCAGUGUUGGAACCUGAUUGUCUCCUGCCAUCCAUGGAGAAAACUUAUCUGGCAUUAAGUUGUCGGGUAGGCAAUCUCCAUCUUUUACUGUGAAAAAAUUAGAGUGUUCAAAGCAGGCUUAUGCCGUUGAAUAUAUUAGCAUGGAAUAAUCAGAUAGGACUUUGGCGUCUAUUUUGUUGGUUUGCACACCAAGGUAAUGAUUAAUAGGGAUAGUUGGGGGUAUUCGUAUUUAAUUGUCAGAGGUGAAAUUCUUGGAUUUAUGAAAGACGAACUUCUGCGAAAGCAUUUACCAAAGAUGUUUUCAUUA
rnacentral:rRNA from 1 species